CCUACGGGUGGCAGCAGUGAGGAAUAUUGGUCAAUGGGCGGGAGCCUGAACCAGCCAAGUCGCGUGAGGGAAGAAGGUACUGUGUAUUGUAAACCUCUUUUGCCAGGGGACAAAGGCGGCCACGGGUGGCCGUAAGAGGGUACCUGGAGAAAAAGCAUCGGCUAACUCCGUGCCAGCAGCCGCGGUAAUACGGAGGAUGCGAGCGUUAUCCGGAUUUAUUGGGUUUAAAGGGUGCGCAGGCGGCGUGUCAAGUCAGCGGUAAAAUUUCGAGGCUCAACCCCGGCCGGCCGUUGAAACUGGCGUGCUUGAGUUAGAGAGAAGUAUGCGGAAUGCGUGGUGUAGCGGUGAAAUGCAUAGAUAUCACGAAGAACCCCGAUUGCGAAGGCAGCAUACCGGCUCCAAACUGACGCUGAGGCACGAAAGCGUGGGUAUCGAACAGGAUUAGAUACCCUAGUAGUC
rnacentral:rRNA from 1 species